rnacentral:rRNA from 1 species
GAGAGACCGAUAGCGAACAAGUACCGUGAGGGAAAGAUGAAAAGCACUUUGGAAAGAGAGUAAAACAGUACGUGAAAUUGUUGAAAGGGAAACGCUUGAAGUCAGUCGCGUCUGCCGGAACUCAGCCUUGCUUCUGCUUGGUGCACUUUCCGGUCUGACGGGCCAGCAUCGGUUUCGAGCGGCGGACACUGGCGAGGGGAAGGUGGCAGCUCCGGCUGUGUUAUAGCCCCUUGUCGCAAACGUCGCCCGGGACCGAGGAAUCCGGCGCAAGCCUGGGAUGCUGGCGUAAUGGCUUUAAACGACCCGUCUUGAAACACGGACCAAGGAGUGCUACGUGCUCGCGAGUGUUUGGGUGGAAAACCCGGACGCGCAAUGAAAGUGAAAGUCGAUACCCCUCACGGGGGCACCGACGCCCGAGCCUGAUGUUUUCGGAAGGCCUUGCGGUAGAGCGAGUGCGUUGCGACCCGAAAGAUGGUGAACUAUUCCUGAGGAGGGCGAAGCCAGAGGAAACUCUGGUGGAGGCUCGUAGCGGUUCUGACGUGCAAAUCGAUCGCAGGACUUGGG